UGUCUUUGACUGUGAUGAGGACAGAACCCCAAGAGGGGAGCCACAGGAGCCCUACUCCAACAGAUGCACAAGAGCUUUUCUGUAGCUACUGACCAGGCCUGCAGCCCAGCAAGUUUAGCACCAUGCCCUGGAUGAGCAACAUCAUUCUGCUGCCUUCUGUUCGUUGUUGCUUGAUUAAUGUAUGCUUUUGAACGGCUUGAAUUAAAGAGUUAAACUAAUUGUUUAAGGAAACACUCUUGACUCAGUUCAGACGUUGUUGGAAGCCUGUCACUACGGAUCUUAUGGAGGGAAUGAGGAUCAUAAUGAGUAUUCCUGCAGAGCCAAGUACUUCUGAUCCUGUUGUCCGGGGGUUGUCUGCAUUUCUAUACACACGUGGAUGCAACUGGUCUAUUUGGAAAUGCCUCACAAAGAAUUCUUACCUAGAAUGGACAGAGACAAAAACAUCUGGACAAGCUUGAUUCGGGUCUCCAAGCAGAACAGCCAUACUCCUCAAAACACUUAAGGUAGGACUUGUUGAGUGGGAGCCAUAUUGGAUUAAAAUAUCUGACAGAUGUCAAGAAUGACCUAACGCCUGUAGGAUACUUGAUGAUCCAGAGAAGAAAAUAUGCACUAUCAGGGGGUUAAUGUACCCCUUGUUGAACUCUGAUCACAAGACAAAAUUAUUUUUCUCUCUCUGCUGAUAAUAAAAGUGCUUAGAUCUGAA